rnacentral:misc_RNA from 1 species
GACUGUGGAACUGGUAGACGACCUUCCGGCAAGUCUUUGACUUGUCUCGAGGUAUGAACCUUCCCGUGCUUUUUAGAACAUAGAUGGCACCAGUCAGGUGACCAUCGAAACGUAAUACGCCGCAUAGACUUCGGUCAUGACGGUAUGGCGAGCUUUCGCCGUCCACGUUUCUCUUUCUUCAAAAGGAUAUCGAACCAUAGGUUUGCGCUCACGCGCUGUUCGCACCUUCGGUGCUGCGCUCCGCGAGGGCGCCGGACGACCGGCGACGGCCUCUGGCCUGUAUGGGCGACCCUUUUCCAAGGUUUUACCUGGAUUGGGUGUCGACGCAGAGAGAUGGGCCCGUAGCUCAGUUGGUUAGAGCACACGCUUGAUAAGCGUGGGGUCGGAAGUUCAAGUCUUCCCGGGCCCACCAUUUGCAUUUGUGAAUGGCGGUUAGUUUGGGUUUACCUGAUCCUGACGGUUUGCUGUCAGGUGUUUGCGAUGGUUGGGGCUGUAGCUCAGCUGGGAGAGCACCUGCUUUGCAAGCAGGGGGUCAGCGGUUCGAUCCCGCUCAGCUCCACCAAUUCGCUUGGUGUCGAGACUGAGAGAUAUCCUUUGAAGAAAAUAAAAGUUUGCAUCGAUCGCUGAUCGAUGCCUGUUCUGCAUACAUUGUGAAGAGAAGAUUGAUCUGGAGGCUUCCAGGUGUUUUGGACUUAUGUCCGGAACGUCCGAGCCCAGUUCCUGUGAACCCAUGGAUGGCCUAGCCGGCCGGAUGUGGUGGAGGGAUUGGAGGGUGGAAGGAAGCUUGUCGCUCUGGGUCGUUGUUGUUUGUGGUCUUUCGAGACUGCAUCUGACGGACGGCUUGAUUACCGUUGCCUGACCGCGCGGUAUCGGAUCCAAUCUCGAGAAGCUGGUCUUAAGACAGGCUGCAAGUGGGCUGCUCGGCGUAGCUCCAAUAAAGCAGACCUGUCGAACACGUCGAUGGCAUUGUUGGAUUGACUGGGUUGUAAAAGGUAACCCGGUCUGUUGCCGUUUCCUUCGGGGACGGUAGCGAGAUGAUGAGCAUUGGCAAUGAGAACGAUUAAGUGUCGUAAGGGCAUUUGGUGGAUGCCUUGGCAUGCACAGGCGAUGAAGGACGUGAUAUCGCUGCGAAAAACCGUGGGGAGCUGCGAAUGAGCU